UUUGAAAUCUGGCCCCCCCCCGCGGGGGCCCGAGUUGUAAUUUGCAGAGGACGCUUUUGGUGAGGUGCCUUCCGAGUUCCCUGGAACGGGACGCCGCAGAGGGUGAGAGCCCCGUCUGGUCGGACGCCGAGCCUCUGUAAAGCUCCUUCGACGAGUCGAGUAGUUUGGGAAUGCUGCUCUAAAUGGGAGGUAUAUGUCUUCUAAAGCUAAAUACCGGCCAGAGACCGAUAGCGCACAAGUAGAGUGAUCGAAAGAUGAAAAGCACUUUGAAAAGAGGGUUAAACAGUACGUGAAAUUGUUGAAAGGGAAGCGCUUGCGACCAGACAUGGGCCCCGGGAAUCAUCCGGCGUCCUCGCCGGUGCA
rnacentral:rRNA from 1 species